rnacentral:misc_RNA from 1 species
UUGUCGCGUGCAACAGUUUUGUGCCGUGGUGCACAUCUUGCCGCUGCUUGGCAACAUGCGCGAGGAAGGGAAAGGCAUGGGCACGACGAAACCUGCCCGGCGGUGGCGAGGGCAGCGGCCCCGAAGCGUCGCAUGUCGUUUUGCCGCGGCGCUUGUGCGCCUCUGCGAACGUAAGAUCCACGACGGCACUCUGCAUCUCCCUCUUUCCCUCCCUCCCUCGCGUGCGCGUGCAUGAGUGGCGACCGCUUGUGCGGUUGUUAUUUAGAAGCAGUGCCCGCUCACCCAAAGGAACGGGGAUGCGGGGGCCCGUUGUGCCAGCCUCGCAUGCGUAUGAGGGGGCAAGAAACAAGAAACAAGUGGAGCAGGAUGACAGGCAGCUGCCUGGCUGCCCAACGAAUACACUGCACGACAAGAAUGACCAGUGUCAAUCUCCACACGUAGGACAUUCUCCUCUUCUUUUUUUUCCGGUGAUGAUUUCGUGUGCCGCUCGUUCUCUAGCGCGCGCUCUCUAUGGGCGUCAAGUUGUGUGUGUUGUCGCUUCGAUUUCCUCGCUGCCUCGCUCCCCUCCCCUCCACCCCCUCCGGCACGCCGUUUUGUGUUGAUGGUGCGACUGGCCUGUCAUCCUCCCCUUUCCUUCGGAACCUCCGUCGUCGACACACAGCACACGCGCGCUGCCGCCGGCGCGCUCCUGUGCGAGCAUUUUCUCCUAUUCUUCCUCCGCUGUGUGUGUAGCCAUUUAGCGUGUGAGAGUGACCAGAAGGAAGGAAGCGGCACAUGGGCGCGGCCCGCCGUCCGCGGAUGGCCUCCUUGCCUUCGCUUCGCCCCCCCCCUCCGCAUUUCUUUCACGUCCACUCUGGGGUUGGAGUAGGGGAUGGGGGUUGUGAGAAGUCAUUGCAGGUAUUUGUCCUCCAAGAGAACGUGCCGACCCUCGUCUUCUCUGAAGUUCUUCGUUUUUUUUUUUGGCGUCAUCUGCUCCCGGAUCCAGGACCCGGACUCUGCAACGUAGCGGGCGGACGAAGAGAGCAAGGACGCAAGCCGAACCGAGGUAUUCGCACGGAUUGGGAAAGCUGGAUGCAACGACUCAACCGGGAAGUGCGGAAAGACAGCGAGGGCAUUGGGAACAGACGACAUAGUAGGCGGCAAGGCCGUGGGAACGCAAGACGUGAAUGCCGGGCUCAUGAAGGAGUGGCCAAAGAUAGGCAUCAGCUCGUCACCGUGAGACCCCAGCCCUUGGUCUCCUCCGCUGUUCUCUCUUUCUGCGCUUGUGUUUCGCGGUCGUUGACGUCGGCUCCGCCUGCUUGUCCCUUUCUGAGUAGGUGAGCCCUCCCUCCCCCCUGACUCUGAGUGUGUGCCCCUCGCGCUGAGUUGAGGCACACGUUGUUUGUCAUUUGUUUCCUACACGCACCUAUCGUUCCUGCUUUAAAUUACGUCUUGCCUUCUUAUUGCGGCGAAACCGCCUUCCGCUGUCCUCCUACCUCUUCCCUCUCCUGCCGUUCCAACGCGCCGCUCCCUCCCGCAUGUGGUACUUUCACCCUUUUCGUCCAAUUCUCUUCGCAUGUUUGUAUGUGUGUCGAUGGUCACGCCUGCGAUUCCGUCUCAGCGCUUAUUUCUUCGCUCUUUCCCUCCACCCCCUCCCUUUCCCCCUUCGCAUUCCUUGUAACUUUUCUGCGCGCCUCCUCUGACGGCGAAUCCCACCCACACAAUGCCUUGUGUGUGUCUGUGUGUGUGCGUGUGUGUGAUUUGUUGGUUUCACUUUCCACUGUACGACAUCUCUGCCUUCUAUAGAUGUUGGUGCUGACGUUCUGCAAGGUCUUCCAUGUACAUAUAUAUAUAUAUAUGUGUGUGUGCCUGUGUGUUCUCCUCCGACGCUGCGCUCCCUCGCUGUCGCACUGAGAUGGGCGUCGUAAAACGUCGGCCUCUGCGAGCAUGUGUGGGUGUGUGCUGGCUUUUGUCUUGUCGGGUGAGAGUGCGAACGGGACGGGCAGUGCCGCUCACGCAUCUCUCCUUUGGGUGUUGUUUUGUUUUCUCUAAGUGCGUGUGUGCCCCGAUGAAGCCGGCCACCCAAACGCGCGGUAGCUCAGCGUCCAGUGCCCCCACUCUGAGUGUUUGGGGGGGAGAGCCAGAGCAGCCCAUCGCUGCUGAUGUCGGCGGUGAGGUCCUGGGUGGCGUGGCGUCGGAGCGACCUGCACUACUGAGCACGCUUGCGCCAUCCAUAUUAUGAUC